rnacentral:rRNA from 1 species
UACGUAGGUGGCAAGCGUUGUCCGGAUUUAUUGGGUUUAAAGGGUGCGUAGGCGGCUUUGUAAGUCAGUGGUGAAAUACGGUAGCUUAACUAUCGAGGUGCCAUUGAUACUGCAGAGCUUGAGUACAGAGUGAGGUAGGCGGAAUUGACGGUGUAGCGGUGAAAUGCUUAGAUAUCGUCAAGAACACCUAUAGCGAAGGCAGCUUACUAGGCUGUAACUGACGCUGAGGCACGAAAGUGUGGGGAUCAAACAGG